rnacentral:rRNA from 1 species
UAUGCAAGUCGAACGAACCCUUUUGAAUUACUUGAAACUUCGGUUGAUUGUUUUUCUUUUUUGGGUUAGUGGCAAACGGGUGAGUAACACGUGGAUAACCUGCCUUGAAGUCAUGAACAGCUCAUCGAAAGAUGGGAUAAUACAUGAUAGUCUUACAUCUUCUUUAGAUCUUGUAAGUAAAGUUACGGCGCUUCAAGAGGGGUCCGCGUCCUAUCAGCUAGUUGGUGAGGUAAUAGCUCACCAAGGCUAAGACGGGUAGCUGGCGUGAGAGCGCGGUCAGCCACCAUGGAACUGAGACACGGUCCAUACUCCUACGGGAGGCAGCAAUUAGGAAUCUUGCGCAAUGGGGGCAACCCUGACGCAGCGACACAGCGUGGAGGAAGAAGGUCUUCGGAUUGUAAACUCCUUUUAUAUGGGAAGAAUAGAUGACGGUACCAUAUGAAUAAGCACCUGCUAACUACGUGCCAGAAGCAUCGGUAAUGCGUAGGGUGCAAACGUUAUCCGGAUUUAUUGGGUGUAUAGAGAUGCGUAGGCGUUUUUGUAAGUCUUUAGUUAAAGACCACGGCUCAACCGUGGAAGAGCUUCGGAUACUGCAAAAAUUGAGACAGGAAGAGGCGAACAGAAUUUCCAGUGGAGCGGUGAAAUGCGUUGAUACUGGGAGGAAUAUCAGUGGCGAAGGCGGUUCGCUGGUCCUUGUCUGACGCUAAGGCUCGAAAGCGUGGGUAGCAAAACGGAUUAGAUACCCGUGUAGUCCACGCUGUAAACUAUGGAUGCUAGGUGUUCGGUAUAACUGUUUUUUCCUUCGGGAAAAAAUGGAAGUAUUGAGUGCCGCAGUUAACACGUUAAGCAUCCCACCUGGGAAGUACGGCCGCAAGGNUAA